rnacentral:misc_RNA from 1 species
UGGUAAGGCAGGUUAAUGCAGAGCAUGGCAUAAAUAACAAUUAUAAGUGUGCGGUCCCAUCAUGGAGGAGUUCAUAGCACAUGAACACAAAAGAAAAUUACCUUAAAAUAGAGGUUCAGGUGUAAAACUAAUCAACGACAUUUCUUUCUGCUUUAUACAUAUGGCUUAAUGAUACUUUGACAACACAAACAAUCGAAUGGACACAUUACAGCCAACAAUUACAACCAACAAUUACAAUGUAGCGUCUAUUUUGUACGAUUCAUCUUUGUAGAAAGAGGGCAGCUCCAACUAAGCCCAUCCAUAAUGUUAAAGCUACCCAAAAAGUUCGGUUUUUCUCAAGUCCAGUUGGAGGCCGCCACACCAGAAAGUCCCCUAAAUAGUCCCUUGAUGAUGGAAGUUGAUUGGUUGUUGAUCCACUUCUCCUUUGAUCCUUGUCCUUGCGUUUGCCACUCCAUGUUGCUGCGUAGCUGUCAUAACUCGAACCAAUCAGCGGAAUGGUAACCAUCUCUUCCUGGGAUAUCUUGAGCUUAGGUGCUUGCAAAAUGUAGCGAAGAUCCGCAGCUUGGCGUCGGAUACUGACACUAGGGUGCUGCUUUUCUAAUUGCUGAUAGAGAGCAAUGCAAUCUGCAUGGCGGUUAUUAGCCUCAUAAGCCAUGGCUAGCCAUAUUUGAAUCUCACCACCAAAAAAAGUGGACCUUGGAAUGAUUGUGAGUGCGGCUUCAAGAAACUCAAUGGCCCGUGAAUACAUGCCCUUUCCAUAAGCCUUUUGCCCCAAUUCAAACAUCAACUGAGCUGUUGCUCUCCUUUCUGCCUGCUCCUGAGCCACCUUUUCAAGCUCUUUUCUCACUCUCAUCUUCUUCUCUUCUUCAGUCUCCUCUCGAUCCUCACUUUCACUGUCCUCCGCUUUGCUUUGCAACUCUUCCGCCUUCUUCUCUAACUCCCUCAUCUCCUCAAUCUCCUUUACUCUCUUCCUCAUCUCCUUCUCCCAAUCAUACUCCUCUUCUCCCUCUCCGUUCCCAUUCCCGUUCUCUUCAUCGCUAUCGAAAUCCACGCCGUUCACUUUGGAAUUCGCUUUUACUCUCGCCACUACUCUUUGACUCCUCGCUUCGCCAUCUGAUUCGAAGCUCUUGCCGGCCAGAGAAGCAGCAUAGGUAUAAGGAUCCCUCUUCGGAAGGUUCAAAACAACGUCUAUAGCUACCGGGCGGGUUUUCCGGUCCGGAAUUACGGGUCGAGGCGAAACCACUUCUAGUAAUAAAGCUAAAUUUCCAAGAACGAUAGCCAUGGUGGCGCCGCCGGAGAUGAUAGGAAGAGAGAGGAGAAGUGAGAUAUGAGGUUCUUCAACGGACAAGACUCCGGUUUAGAUAUUUAGCGUCUUUAAAUGCGUGAUGACUAAAAUAUCCUUGCCGUAGCCGUAAUCAUCUAGCGAAUCUAAGAGGGUACUUCCGUCUGGAAGACUGUGAACGUGGCGUUAUGUAGACGAGAGCCGUAUCGGUAACUUGUCGCCGUCCGUGCAUUGGCUCACUGAGGCCGAACGUUGAUUUUAUGUACUUGUGUCAAACACGUCACUACGAUAUUCUACGGGCUAAAAAACGAUGCCGUUUCCUCAACUAAUCAGGCUGAUCAAACAGUUUGCAGUCCGCACCACAGGCACAGGGAGCAGAAAGCAGAGGAGAAGAGAGCAGAAAAUGUCGCGCCUCUAACUUUUUAUUUAUGUAACAACUUGAAGCCAU